AAGCCACCUCGCCGACCAAUCCUGCUACAGCGUCGCCAGACGAGAUAAGGAAGCCACCGCGUCUCCCAAAUAUCUCCACCCACUCCCCACUCCUCACUCCCUCUGGACGCCCCUCUCUCCCUCGUCACUCUCUCUCUCUCGCCCAGAUCCGCCACGACCACCACCGUCGUCGCCAAGAACUCCAUCGCCCCUGCGGCCACCGUUGCAUCCCGCGGGCUAGGAGGUUGCCCUGGAGCUCCGUCGAGCUUCGCUGCUUCGGCUACAAGGGCCGGUUCGAGCUUAGCGCCCCGGCAACGACAAGAUCAAGCUCUUCUUCCUCCUGUGGUCGCUGCCGUUUUCAUUGAACUGCUUCACUCCGGCCUCCCCCGGCUUCACCGACUCGCCCGCGAGAACCACUAUGACGGAUCCCAGGAGCCAGACGACGCAACUGAUGACUACUACUACCCGAAGGAUGCCUACUACUAUGUGAAGACCGCACACGACUAGGAGUAGUCAGGAGGCUCCCAGGCAGGAGGCCUUGCCUUUUCGAUCAUUGUUGCUUUUUGUGCUAGCCUUCUUAAGGCAAUCUUGUUUAACUCAUGUGUGUACUCAGAUAUUGUUGCUUUCGCUGACUCUUGUGUAUUCGAGCUGAUGUAUUCGAGCCCUCGAGGCCCCUGGCUUGUAAUAUAAAGCUUGUAUUAUUUUGAUU